rnacentral:rRNA from 1 species
UUGACCUCAAAUCAGGUGGGACUACCCGCUGAACUUAAGCAUAUC